rnacentral:rRNA from 1 species
GCAAGCUUAAAACUCAAAGGAAUAGACGGGACCCACACAAGCAGUGGAUCACGUGGUUUAAUUCGACAAUAAACGGGGAAUCUCACCCAGACUUGACAUCCUGAGAAUCUUUGAGAAAUCAGAGAGUGCCUUUACGGGAGCUCAGUGACAGGUGCUGCAUGGUUGUCGUCAGCUCGUGCCUUGAGGUGUUCGGUUAAGUCCGUUAACGAGCGCAACCCAUGUCCUUAGUUACUAUGUCUAAGGAGACUGCCUUGGUUAACAAGGAGGAAGGUGUGGAUGACGUCAAAUCAGCAUGGCUUUUACGUCUGGGGCUACACACAUGAUACAAUGGUAUGUACAAAGAGCAGCGAUACCGCGAGGUGGAGCCAAUCUUCAAAGCAUAUCUCAGUCCGGAUUGGAGUCUGAAACUCGACUCCAUGAAGUUGGAAUUGCUAGUAAUCGUGAAUCAGAUAUGUCACGGUGAAUGUGUUCCUGGGUCUUGUA